rnacentral:rRNA from 1 species
AGAGUUGAUCAUGGCUCAGGAUGAACGCUAGCUACAGGCUUAACACAUGCAAGUCGAGGGGCAGCAUGACCUAGCAAUAGGUUGAUGGCGACCGGCGCACGGGUGAGUAACACGUAUCCAACCUACCGGUUAUUCCGGGAUAGCCUUUCGAAAGAAAGAUUAAUACCGGAUAGCAUAGCGAGAAGGCAUCUUCUUGUUAUUAAAGAAUUUCGAUAACCGAUGGGGAUGCGUUCCAUUAGUUUGUUGGCGGGGUAACGGCCCACCAAGACAUCGAUGGAUAGGGGUUCUGAGAGGAAGGUCCCCCACAUUGGAACUGAGACACGGUCCAAACUCCUACGGGAGGCAGCA